GAUGAACGCUGGCGGCGUGCCUAAUACAUGCAAGUCGAGCGAACAGACGAGGAGCUUGCUCCUCUGACGUUAGCGGCGGACGGGUGAGUAACACGUGGAUAACCUACCUAUAAGACUGGGAUAACUUCGGGAAACCGGAGCUAAUACCGGAUAAUAUAUUGAACCGCAUGGUUCAAUAGUGAAAGACGGUUUUGCUGUCACUUAUAGAUGGAUCCGCGCCGCAUUAGCUAGUUGGUAAGGUAACGGCUUACCAAGGCAACGAUGCGUAGCCGACCUGAGAGGGUGAUCGGCCACACUGGAACUGAGACACGGUCCAGACUCCUACGGGAGGCAGCAGUAGGGAAUCUUCCGCAAUGGGCGAAAGCCUGACGGAGCAACGCCGCGUGAGUGAUGAAGGUCUUCGGAUCGUAAAACUCUGUUAGUAGGGAAGAACAAAUGUGUAAGUAACUAUGCACGUCUUGACGGUACCUAAUCAGAAAGCAACGGCUAACUACGUG
rnacentral:rRNA from 1 species